rnacentral:rRNA from 1 species
CGGGUGAGUAACACGUAUGCAACCUGCCUGCCACAGCCGGAUAAUCGGAGAAAUUCCGUCUAAUACGGCAUAAUGCAUCGACGGGACAUCCUGUUGGUGCCAAAGGUUGAUUCCGGUGGCGGAUGGGCAUGCGUCGCAUUAGUUAGUUGGCGGUGUAACGGACCACCAAGACGACGAUGCGUAGGGGUUCUGAGAGGAAGGUCCCCCACACUGGUACUGAGACACGGACCAGACUCCUACGGGAGGCAGCAG